ensembl:lncRNA
GUUGUUCCCAGUGUUGAACCACUUUCACUUGUAGAUGAUUCUGUUGUGGUUGUGCUCAGAGGGGACACAGCUGUUGUAAGUAUUGAUGGAGCAGUUGUUGUAGAUUCUAUAUCAGUGGUAGAAGGAUAUUGAGUGGAUGGUGUCUGCUGGUUUGUUGUUUGUUCUACACUAGAUGAGGAUAUCUCUGUUGUAGAUGAAGUGAAUUCUGUUAUUAUCUGUGCUUCUGUUGUAGACGAUGGUGAAGAUGGAGGAGAAUCUGUUGGAAAUGAUGUUGUUCCCAGUGUUGAACCACUUUCACUUGGAGAUGAUUCUAUUGUGGUUGUGCUCACAGGAGAUACAGCUGUUGUAAGUGUUGAUGGAGCUGUUGUAGAUUCUAUAUAAAUGGUAGAAGUAUAUUGAGUGGUUGGUGUCUGCUGGUUUGUUGUUUGUUCUAUACUAGAUGAUGGUAUCUCUGUUGUAAAUGAAGUGAAUUCUGAUGAUGUCUGUCCUUCUGUUGUAGACGAUGCUGAAGAUGGAGUAGAAUCUGUUGUGGAUGUUGUUGUUCCCAGUGUUGAACCACUUUCACUUGUAGAUGAUUCUAUUGUGGUUUUGCUCACAGGAGAUACAGCUGUUGUCAAUGUUGAUGGAGCUGUUGGUGUAGAUUCUAUUUCAGUGGUAGAACUAUAUUGAGUGGAUGGUGUCUCUUGAUUUGUUGUUUGAUCUACACUAGAUGAUAAAAUCUCUGUUGUAGAUGAAGUGAAUUCUGAUGUUGUCUGUGCUUCUGUUGUAGACGAUGGUAAAGAUGCAGUAGAAUCUGUUGGAAAUGAUGUUGUUCCCAGUGUUGAACCACUUUCACUUGUAGAUGAUUCUGUUGUGGUUGUGCUCAGAGGGGACACAGCUGUUGUAAGUGUUGAUGGAGUUGUUGUUGUAGAUUCUAUAUCAGUGGUAGAAGGAUAUUGAGUGGAUGGUGUCUGCUGGUUUGUUGUUUUUUCUACACUAGAUGAGGAUAUCUCUUUUGUAGAUGAAGUGAAUUCUGUUGUUAUCUGUGCUUCUGUUGUAGACGAUGGUGAAGAUGGAGUAGAAUCUGUUGGAAAUGAUGUUGUUCCCAGUGUUGAACCACUUUCACUUGUAGAUGUUUCUAUUGUGGUUGUGCUCAGGGGGGACACAGCUGUUGUAAAUGUUGAUGGAGCUGUUGUAUAUUCUAUAUCAGUGGGAGAAGUAUAUUGAGUGGUUUGUGUCUGCUGGUUUGUUGUUUGUUCUACACUAGAUGAGGAUAUCUCUGUUGUAGAUGAAGUGAAUUCUGAUGUUGUCUUUCCUUCUAUCGUAGACAGUUGUGAAUAUUCAGUAUUUUCUGUUGGAAAUGAUGUUGUUCCCAGUGUUGAACCACUUUCAAUUGUAGAUGAUUCUAUUGUGGUUGUGCUUACAGGAGAUACAGCUGUUGUAAGUGUUGAUGGAGCUGUUGUUGUAGAUUCGAUAUCAGUGGUAGAACUAUAUUGAGUGGAUGGUGUCUGCUGAUUUGUUGUUUGAUCUACACUAGAUGAUAAAAUCUCUGUUGUAGAUGAAGUGAAUUCUGAUGUUGUCUGU